GUGUAAUGAUGUUCGUUUGGCAGCACAGCAUCAUCCUUUGCUUACAGAAUCGCUAGAAAUAACAAAACACUCGCAAUUUCUGGCCAUUCCGAAUUCAUUGAUGUGUGUUGCUAUUACGGUCAUUGUUUUUUUUUCCCGUUGCUUUUGUUUUUCGUCGAGUGCUCGCGUAUUAAUGUCGAUUGAGUGUGUGCGUUUUGAAGGCCGAAAGUUAAAAAAUAAAACAAGUUUAGCAGAAAAUUGAAACGUCACUUGCAAUCGAAAAGUUUAAAAGCGUUGUAGCGCUCGCUUGGCAAAACUAAAUGUCAAUAAAAUCAUUAAAUUAUAUUCAUUGAAACUGAAGUGUAAAAAAAAAGUGUUCGGUUAACCGCAUUCUGGUUUUUAAUUGAACGUAAUCGAGAAGCGCGGGAGUUUGGUCAAUCGGGCGCGGUGUGGGUGUCUCGUGUGUGUGUGUAUGCGCGCGCGCUUGUGUUUUUGUGCGGUUUAAUUGAAAAGGCAUCAACAUAGGUUGUCCACAGUCGGUACUGUUGUGUUCCAAUAAGGAACCUACAUCGUCCAAAUCAUGCACACCAUCGAAGUCUGGCAUUUGGUCACCAGAGCCCGAACUGCCAUUGGAAUCGCAGUGGGCUGAUGGCAUCACCGAAGGCUAUUGGAACCAAAGUGAACCAUGGGUAUGUUUUGAAUGUACACAUUUUGAAUUUAUCCGAUUCGUUUAUUCAGUUGGGUUUUUGGUUUUCUGUUCAUUUAAAUUCGUUUGAAUGAGCCAAUUUAAUUCUUAGUAAACUAUUUGAAAUGCUUGGUUAAAUAAUCAACACAAUCAAUAGAAGAAGGGGCAAUUGUCUAAUUGUCUACUCAUCUAAAUAGUAGCAAUUGCUCAACUAGUUUUCAAAUUGUUCUUCGUUUGCAUUCAUUAAUUCAGGGAAUUUCUAGUUUGCUACCACUUGCAUUCAUUGAGCAAGAGAUGCUUUGACUGAAGAGAAUAAGUGCAUGGAUAUACGUUGUCGUCGACAGCGCACAAUAGCGUAAUACGAGCUGCGUGAGUGACACCAACAAAGCGUUUUACAUUCAUUCUACAUAAUAAUGAAAAUGAUAAGAAUUGCCAUCAUCGUCAGAGGCGAUACGCUUUUCCUUUGUGUCGUGACACAGCGAGGAACUCUUCUUGUUUUUUUUCAUUUGUAUAAGAUGCGCUGCUCUUCAAAAGUCUUCAAGGAGGGCAACGAAGUGCUGACGCUUUUCUAAUGAUUAUAAAUUAACUACAAUUUAAUUUUACGAUUUUCUUGACGUCAUGUACCACAACUUAUACAUUUUUUCAUCUCGGCGCCCGUAUUUUAUGAGCUUUUUCGUUUUCCUCUUUCAUCUUUGUAGCAGCAAUGAGUUCAUUCUAUGAAGCGUUGCAGGAAAUUGUGGUGUACGCCUUCGGUUUCAGCCGUGAAGUGGUAUCCAAAUUGGAAAAUUCAUCAUAAAGAAACCGUAUAAUUUAUUUAUCAUUUAUUUGCGAUGCUGAAAUCCAUCCGGUGGUAAACAAAAUGAGGCCAAAUCGUUAUUUUUGAGCCGCAGAGAAUCUCAUUAAAUGAGCGUGGUUUGUUUUUUUUUUUCUUUCGCUCAUGUUUCUUCUUUUAUUUGUGCGUUUUUGUCUCAUAUUGCACCGAAUGCCACGAAUAUUUAUUUGCGUUGCAUCGAAAACGCUUGUAAUUCAAGUUAUGCCUUAUCGCUGCCAUUUCGAAACGAGCUAAACAGAAUGAUGUCGCAUUUAAUUACAUGGCUUACACAGUUGUGUCAUCGUCGAGCACUUUGUUUGUUGUCAUCGUCUUUUGUUUUUGUUGUUUUUUUUUGUUCUUUCUCUGAAUGAACGAAAUAUAAGCCUUUGACCUUCUGUUCAACGAAACCAAGUGGAUAAACGUUUUUAAACCCAAACAUGAUCCAACUUGCGCUUUUUUUCUACUUUUCGGUCGAUGUUUUUUUUCUCUCCUAUCUUCCAUCAGAUUUAUGGUUCGUAUCGCAAAUUUUCAUUAGCGCUUUGAGUUGAUGAUGCACAACGCGGCUGCCAACCGACUGUGCAAAAUACUUUUUGACGUUAUCACGUAUUUCGCGAUGCGAAGAAAGUGUUUGUGCUGUGCGAAAGCGUUCAAGAACGAAAAUAUAGCGGCAGUUAUCAAUUCAUUCAGUCAAUUUCGCAUUUUAUGGCUGGCUUUCAACACGAAAUUUAUAAUUUCCAACGAAACGAUGUUGAACUGGGUGCUAUUGGCAUGCUUUAAGUUUAAAAAAGAAAUCCAUUGAAACGUGCGUUUCAGCUUAUUGACCCGGAAAAAAAGUAGAAGAAGCUGCAAGUCAUAUUGGCAUGUCACAUUGGCUGGUGUUAGCUUUUGUAUUUUCACAUCUCGCAAAACAGCGAUGCGAACGCAUAAUUCAUGAUUAAAUUGCUUUUGUUGGCCAUUUAUUAUAUGGAAAAUAACUGCUUUAUGCUCGAAAUAGCGAUUGAAUGCUGCUCGAGCAACCUCAUCUUUCGCAAACACCACAAAACCAUUCCACUAAGCCACCACAACGCACGACAAACCGUUUUCAUGGAAAUCAUAUUUGUCUUCAAUUUUCUUUUCGCCUUUUUUUUCGACCCGCUUUCAUUCCUCCGCUUGUUUACGUUUGAAUGAAAUUUUUUGCAACAUAUUCAAAAGGAGAAUUCAAAAAGUACGCUCACCCUUUGCACUAAAUUACACCAAAAUCUAUUGUACAAAGUGAUGCUUUAGCGAAACGAACGAUAAUUCUUCCACAUGACAACAUUGAAUGAGCAUCAUUGCUUAUUUUUAUCUCAAUUCAUAUUGUAUUCAGGUUCCUUAUGUUUAUUUGCUGAAGAAAAAAGCACUCCAAAUUGAUCACGUUGAACGAUGUUUUUUUUAGUCUUUUUUUUCUACAGCCUACAUAUUCCACGGUAGACAAAUUUCCUUCUGAAUACGUUCUGAUCAGGCGAGCUGAGAAGAAAAAGAAAUAAUGCCAUUCGUUUGAGGAAUUGAAUUGAGGCAAAAUAUAUAGAAGCGAAGCUAAUGUCAAUGAUUUUGGUGUACCUUCAUCAGUCGGCGUGUGUGAGUGUGUUGUCAAGCUAAAAAUGGCAAUACCGCGAAAAAGCAAGUAAACUGGAUCUCGCGCCAAAUUUCAAUGAACGAAGGCCGACUUAAAAAAAAUUCAUAAAAUCUGUACACGUGCCGUUGUAUUCUCACCGUUACGACAUCGUUUAUAUCCGUUUCUGUUUAUAUGCUGCUUGACUUUUUUUCCUUUCUUUAUUUGCUCCAUCUGCAUUCUAUCGUGCGCCCGUUUGUUAGCGCUCAAACACACAUGCUAUUUUUGGUAUAUUCGUUACAUUUACAUUAUUUUUUAUCGAGUCAAUUGAUGUGCUCUUGAUUUUUCGUAACGGUUUUCUUCUUCUUCUUCUUAUUCUUUUUUUUUUGGUUCGGUGCCCGUCGUUGUCGUUUCUUUGGGAACAAUUCCCAAAGCGAUACGUAAAGCUUAUUGCCUCACAUGCUUUGUGCGGAGAGCUAAAUCGCAUCAUGCAAGGUUCGUGUGUCGAACGCGAAGAAAAAAAUUCGCUUGGAUUUCGAAAGGGAAAAAAGCUCUUUUACAUCUCUUGCUCUUCAUUGAUGGCAUUAUUGUGUUGUGUAUUUUCCAUUGACUCGAUGAAUUCCCAGAAAUUUGGCAAAAUACUCAAAGCCAACAUCAAGUUGUUGUGUUCUCUCAUUUUGACUAUAUAAUAGAGAAAAAGCUAAGCGCACAAACAUCACCUCAUUGUACAAAGUGGUAUGAGCUUACACGGCACUCAAUGUAUCAUCAUCAUCAUCAUUGCCGUCGCACAUAAGGAAUGUAGUAUGGGAAGGAUGAAACAAGCGCGCCCAUACCUUGUAAUAUAUAUAUAAUCGAAUAAAAAAAGGGAUACAAACAAAAGAGCCGAACAUGCGAAAGCAUGACAAAUUCCCAGGCAGAAGAGAGCGCAUGAAUCGAACGGAAAACACAUAUCAGUCCAUUAUGAGAAGCGGAAAACUGUAAAAAAAUAGAAAAAAAAAUCCCGUCUCACACAAUUCAUGCCCCCCCCUUCCUCACACGCUUUCCCACUUUCUAUCUUUGACUACGCAUAACGUGACGUUGCUAUCUCUGCCAAUUCAAAUUGCUCCCAGAGAACAAAGCCACCGAACUGAUUUCAAAACUUCGUUACGUGUAUUGUGUUGCCAGAGAUAAAUCCGUCGUCCUUGAUUCAAUAUUUUUGUCUUUCAGUCGUGUGUUAUGAUUUUACUCUAUGUUUCGAUACACAAAUAUACACAUAUAUUCAUUCGUUCAUAGUGCUUCAUGCAUGGGAGGUGCGAGCGAGCGAGAGUUGAAGACGCUUCCGCCGUGCAAUGUUCGUUACUAAGUUUUCAACUCGUAUCUCUUCCGAUUGCAAGCAUGCGAUUCAAAUCACGUGCUUUUGAGAGCAUUUCUUUAUAUUUAAUGUUCACCUCCGUCGGCAUGGGCUGUGCACCGAUUCAUUUUAUUUAUUCUCAAUUCCUUCGCCCAUAUAUUUUACGUUCCGUGGAAUUUGUUUUUGAUGUCAUGUUAUGCUUCUCGCUUCGCCUUCUCCUCAGUUGGUUGGUGUGUUUGUUUCUUUCCCUCAACUUUUCUACAACAUCAAAAGAACACCAUUUCUCUGUUGUCGUUGGUGUGGUUUCGAAAUAGAACGUUGAUAUCUGUUGAUUUUCUACAUUUAUCGUUCAAAUGGAAAAUAAUUGUGUAGUCUCAAGCAAAACUCGACGGCAGCAAAUUCAAAACGGAUGCAUAGCGAAGAAACAUAACACAAAAAGCCAAGUGAGGACGAACGCUAUUCAUUUGAAAGCCAACCGGGGUCUUUUUCGUACGAAGUUCUCUCGUUUAUGCUGCAUUAAGUCAUUUCCAAGCAACUCGACCGAAUGCGCGUCGUCGGCAGCAACUGAAACGAAAAAGCGACACACGAAAACAAAUGGACAACGACGAAAAUGGUUUUCUUUGCUUGUCAUUCCUCCGAUUUUAACUUGUCUCCUUGCUUUUCUCUCUCUCUCUCUCUCUCUCUCUCUCUCUCUCUCUCUCUCUCUCGUUGUAGUCGCAGUUUUUCUGAGAAUACUUUCAUGCCAACGCAUUUUACGGUGACUUAUACAAAAUUCCAAAAUACUCAAGAGUUUGUCGCUUUUGUGCACGAUGCACACACCAAUUUUCUUUUCCUUGCUCGUGAUUCGUUCAAAUAAAAUUUUUGCUAUCGCGAAAGUUUUCUGGUACAAUUAAAAACUGUAAAAGAAGAAAUGAGAGCGAGUGGAAGGAAAGCGAGAGAGAGGAGCGAGAGAGUUGCAGAGCGGAAUUUGUGUGAAUGUGACGCUUUUUGCACGACAUUUCGACCUCUUUGCGAUUCAUUUUCAAGUGAUCUCAACAUUUUAGUCAAAUGAGGAUUGUGAUGUCAGCGUUUUUUCUUCUUUCCAAUGCGUACAAUGUCUUCGACUUAAUGGAUAUUUUUAUGGGUUUGAGUUUAAAUCUUUUUUUUUCCCGAGCGUCUUUGAUUUAUGAGGGUAUAAAAAAUGUGAAAAAACUACACAACACAUACACACACAAAGUCAAGCGCAGCGGCACUGUGUUGCAGCGCCCAGGCAAAAUAGAUUUAAAUGCUUAAACAAGCCCUUUCAAUGUCUGCUACAGACGUAGAUUUCUCUGUAAAUCAACCGUUAAAAUGUGAUUCGUCAUCGCCGAGCCAGUGAUAGCAUCUUAUAAAUAUUUUCCAUUCGGUUGUGUGUGUAUUGAGAGAGCCAUUCCACUUUGGGAUGCUCAUAAGCUUAUCACAAUCAGCAUACAGAGAUAUUUCAGACAUUUUAACUCGAUACAAAGAAAGAAUAAUAAUAUGAACCGAACACAUGUCAUUGAAAUAUCUACUUGAGCGUUCAUAUUUGUAGGUAACAUUCCACUUGACUUGACUUGUUUCCGUUGAAUUGGAACUUUGUGAAAUCGUGCUCCGCUAAAUUGGUUUUUGUUCUGCUUUAGCUUACCUUGAGAUCGUUGAAUAUUUAAAGAUGGUAAAAAUAAUAACAUUCAUCAAGACCUUCUUAUUUUGACUUACUGUGAACUCAAACGUAAGUUAAAACAAUGAUGCAAACUAGCUGUAUGUGAUAUACGUAAAGCAUUUAUGUCACAACUAACAGCGCCAUCUAACAUCGUAAUGGAAUUAUUCCAAUGGAUAUUUCUUUUUUUAUUAGCGAAUAUUCACUUAAAAAGUGUAAAAAAUAAAAAUUGAUAGAUCAAUAUGUAGAAACUUUUAAUUUGCGUGAGAUUAAUAUUUUAAUAUUGUAGAGAAAAAUUUAAAAUUGAAAUUAUUACUUAGUCACUUCACUUGUGUACAAAAGUUCAAGUUUUAGUGCUUUGGGUAAAGCUAUUGAAUGAACGUUAGCAACUCCACGUAUGUUUACAUUCGAUGACAGCUGUCAGUGAUACAUUGAAAUAUUUACGGGGUUAUAACGUAAAUGAUGUUUCCACUCGCGAACAAUAUUUAUAUAGUAAUGUUUUCAUAAAUUAAACAAUCCUGUGGCAUGAUAAUAAUUCCAGACAUGGAUUUUAAACUGUUAAAACUACGGUGAUGCUGACUGACUCAAUAAACCGACUGACUCAGUAAACCACGGUUUUCAAUGACGUUUAACAAAUGAAGAAAUGAAUUUUAUGGUAUUCUAUCAUUUUUGCAAGUAUGCGAUGAAAAUUGUGUGAAAAAGAUGCACAAAAUAUGUUGUAAGUGCUGUUUGUGGUAAUCAAACAUGAAAAUGUUCGUGAUCUAAACAAUACCAACGAUGAAUUUUUCAUGCCGCAAAAGAACGGCAACCUAACCUCCAAAGUUUAGCGGCUCUAUGAUUGCACCGACUCAAUCAAAAUAUUUCAUACUGCGCAUUUUUUUCUCAUUAAUUUGAAGAAAAUUUUUAUUUGACCAAAUUAUUUUCAUGAAACAAACUCAUUAAAAAUUCAGGUUUAUAUUUUUAUGUAAAACAUAUUCGAAAAAACCAUGGGAGAUUUAUGCCUUGGGCGUUAGCACUACAAAUUCUUCCAAUGAAUUUCCUUAGUUUCGGUUUAAUGAGUCAUAGAUAUGGUUUAUCGAGUAAGUCGUUAGUCGCAUAUCAAUAAUUGUUGUGAAUCCAAUAAAAAUCAGAAUUAUAGAAAUAAACUGAAAUAAUCAUUGAUUUCUUAUGAAUUUCCUUUUUUACCUUAUUAAUUGGAUACUUAUGGUUUGGGCGUUAGCACUACAAAUUCUAGCAUUGAUUCAGGUGUUAGCCUUUAGUCAAUGUUCGAUGUGAACUCAACAAAAGUCAAAAUUACUGAAAUAAUCAUUGGUUUAUUAUAGCAUUUUUUGCUUACUUUUAUUUUCAGAAAAUCAAUGUAAAAAUGUUGUUCUUUACGCAUAAUUAUACAUAAAAUAAAGUCUGCAAUUCGAAAAUUUGAAAUUUCAAAGUACGCGCCAUCAUCACUGACUUUGACAGCUAUGGGAUUGAAGUAUCUACCGUUUUUGAAUUGUAUUAUUUUUUAUUACGAAGUUAAACAAAAUUUAGUUCGAGUUUUUCUCAAUCAAGGAAAAAUGCAUAUUCUUAUGACUCACUAAACCGAAUCAGAAAUAAAAGUAAUUGCAACAUUCCAAUUUGACGGAUGGAUCAAGCGUUUCGAACGUCUGAACGUUUGAUCGUUUGAACGUUUUUUUUUAAUGUUUUGAAGCUUGACCGUAAGCAUCAUAGCUUUCUUCUAACGAUUGUAGAUGGCGCUAUUCUUGUGCGUGUCACUUAAUUUGCCUCAUUGGUUAAAACAAUACAAAGAAAGAAA